rnacentral:rRNA from 1 species
UACGAAGGGGGCUAGCGUUGCUCGGAAUCACUGGGCGUAAAGCGCACGUAGGCGGCUUUCUAAGUCAGGGGUGAAAUCCCGGAGCUCAACUCCGGAACUGCCUUUGAUACUGGAGAGCUUGAGUUCGGGAGAGGUGAGUGGAACUGCGAGUGUAGAGGUGAAAUUCGUAGAUAUUCGCAAGAACACCAGUGGCGAAGGCGGCUCACUGGCCCGGUACUGACGCUGAGGUGCGAAAGCGUGGGGAGCGAACAGG